rnacentral:rRNA from 1 species
GAUGAACGCUGGCGGCGUGCCUAAUACAUGCAAGUCGAGCGGACAGACGAGGAGCUUGCUCCUCUGACGUUAGCGGCGGACGGGUGAGUAACACGUGGAUAACCUACCUAUAAGACUGGGAUAACUUCGGGAAACCGGAGCUAAUACCGGAUAAUAUAUUGAACCGCAUGGUUCAAUAGUGAAAGACGGUUUUGCUGUCACUUAUAGAUGGAUCCGCGCCGCAUUAGCUAGUUGGUAAGGUAACGGCUUACCAAGGCAACGAUGCGUAGCCGACCUGAGAGGGUGAUCGGCCACACUGCAACUGAGACACGGUCCAGACUCCUACGGGAGGCAGCAGUAGGGAAUCUUCCGCAAUGGGCGAAAGCCUGACGGAGCAACGCCGCGUGAGUGAUGAAGGUCUUCGGAUCGUAAAACUCUGUUAUUAGGGAAGAACAAAUGUGUAAGUAACUAUGCACGUCUUGACGGUACCUAAUCAGAAAGCCACGGCUAACUACGUG